UACGAAGGGGGCUAGCGUUGCUCGGAAUUACUGGGCGUAAAGGGCGCGUAGGCGGAUAGUUUAGUCAGAGGUGAAAGCCCAGGGCUCAACCUUGGAAUUGCCUUUGAUACUGGCUGUCUUGAGUUCGGGAGAGGUGAGUGGAAUGCCGAGUGUAGAGGUGAAAUUCGUAGAUAUUCGGCGGAACACCAGUGGCGAAGGCGACUCACUGGCCCGAUACUGACGCUGAGGCGCGAAAGCGUGGGGAGCAAACGGG
rnacentral:rRNA from 1 species